AGAGUUUGAUCCUGGCUCAGAACGAACGCUGGCGGCAGGCUUAACACAUGCAAGUCGAACGAGAAGCCACCUUCGGGUGGUGGACAGUGGCAGACGGGUGAGUAACGCGUGGGAACGUGCCUUUCGGUUCGGGAUAACCCAGGGAAACUUGGACUAAUACCGGAUACGCCCUUCGGGGGAAAGAUUCAUUGCCGAAAGAUCGGCCCGCGUCGGAUUAGCUAGUUGGUGGGGUAAAAGCCUACCAAGGCGACGAUCCGUAGCUGGUCUGAGAGGAUGACCAGCCACACUGGGACUGAGACACGGCCCAGACUCCUACGGGAGGCAGCAGUGGGGAAUAUUGGACAAUGGGCGAAAGCCUGAUCCAGCCAUGCCGCGUGGGUGAAGAAGGCCUUAGGGUUGUAAACCC
rnacentral:rRNA from 1 species